rnacentral:tRNA from 1 species
GCGGUGGAAGCCAAUCGGUCAGGCACCAGCCUUCCAAGCUGACAACAGCGGGUUCGAAUCCCGUCCACCGCUCUA